rnacentral:rRNA from 1 species
UACGUAGGCAGCGAGCGUUGUUCGGAAUUACUGGGCGUAAAGAGUGUGUAGGCGGUGCUCUAAGUUCGGUGUGAAAUCUCCCGGCUUAACUGGGAGGGUGCGCCGGAAACUGGAGUGCUCGAGCGUGGGAGAGGAAAGCGGAAUUCCUGGUGUAGCGGUGAAAUGCGUAGAUAUCAGGAGGAACACCGAUGGCGAAGGCAGCCCCCUGGGUCAACACUGACGCUCAUGCACGAAAGCGUGGGGAGCAAACAGG